CAUAAAUACAGUAUUCAAAAAUGCAUUAUAAAAAAAAUAAUGUGGCUCAAAUUAGGGCUUAAAAGUAAAAACAUUUGGAAAAGAAUUACGCCUAAGUUAAGCUUAGCCAAACACGGUGCAAGAAAAUUUGAGGCUCAGAUCUGUGCAGGUGAAGAGAGAGAGAGAAUCCGACCACGCCAUGGCUGCGAAUUCCGGUUGCAACAAACAAGCCCUAAUUUGAUGCCAUCCGGGUCGCCAUGCCAAGAUACGUGUCGAUUUAUCUCAAUUCCCAAUCGGAUUUAGCUCAGCAAGAGGAAAGUAAUCAUCACAGCCUCAUAUUCAGCAGAUCACAGCAUCGGAAAAGUGAGAGCAAAACUGUGGUGUGAAUAUAAAGAUCAAUGGCAAGUUAUCUGUGUAUAUAUAUACAUACAACAUAUGUUUUUCUCCUUCGAAUUUAAGGGCUGUUGAUUUGAUUUAAUGGAGAAAUCACUGGUAAAAAGAGAGGGGCAACCACCCUUAGAGAAAUCCCAUCUCUCUUUAGCCUCAUUCUCGUCUUGAUGCCGAGCUUAUUGAUUCUUGCUUAUGGCCCGGAUCAGAUGUAUGUUUCUAUUUGGAGUGCAGAGCUAGAAUCUGAGACCAGACAGAGUGAUCAUAUACCAGAAUGUUGCUAAAAUGUUCGAUUUCUCUGAUGCAAUGAUGCUUCCUCUUGGAAAAUUCGAGGUCGAAGAUUCUAUGCAAGAGACAUUUUCUUAUUAUCUACUAUCGUCUAGUUGUUGACCUGAGAAUUUUGAAAGAAAAGGAGGAAUGGUGCCAAAAAACCAAUUUUAGACUGUCCUGGAUCUUGCUUUGACAUGCACCCUAGCCAAAUCAUAUCAGCUAAAGUCAAGAUCCAACAGCUCAAUAGUAGGUUCUACGAAUAUGAAGAAUAGAUAGUUUUUGAUGAUUCUUUCCUUUCUUUUUUGGUUUGAUUGCAAAGAAUGUCAAUCUUGAGGUUGCAACCUCAAGGCAAAGUUUUGUCACCAUCCGAAGACUACCUUGUUGACAGUGAAUUUAAAGUCGACUGUAUAAAUCUUUUUUCA